rnacentral:rRNA from 1 species
GACGAACGCUGGCGGCGUGCUUAACACAUGCAAGUCGAACGGAAAGGCCCUGCUUUUGCGGGGUGCUCGAGUGGCGAACGGGUGAGUAACACGUGAGUAACCUGCCCUUGACUUUGGGAUAACUUCAGGAAACUGGGGCUAAUACCGGAUAGGAGCUCCUGCUGCAUGGUGGGGGUUGGAAAGUUUCGGCGGUUGGGGAUGGACUCGCGGCUUAUCAGCUUGUUGGUGGGGUAGUGGCUUACCAAGGCUUUGACGGGUAGCCGGCCUGAGAGGGUGACCGGCCACAUUGGGACUGAGAUACGGCCCAGACUCCUACGGGAGGCAGCAGUGGGGAAUAUUGCACAAUGGGCGGAAGCCUGAUGCAGCAACGCCGCGUGCGGGAUGACAGCCUUCGGGUUGUAAACCGCUUUCGCCUGUGACGAAGCGUGAGUGACGGUAAUGGGUAAAGAAGCACCGGCUAACUACGUG